rnacentral:rRNA from 1 species
GGUUAAGCGACUAAGCGUACACGGUGGAUGCCCUGGCAGUCAGAGGCGAUGAAGGACGUGCUAAUCUGCGAAAAGCGUCGGUAAGGUGAUAUGAACCGUUAUAACCGGCGAUGUCCGAAUGGGGAAACCCAGUGUGAUUCGUCACACUAUCGUUAACUGAAUACAUAGGUUAACGAGGCGAACCGGGGAACUGAAACAUCUAAGUACCCCGAGGAAAAGAAAUCAACCGAGAUUCCCCAGUAGCGGCGAGCGAACGGGGAGCAGCCCAGAGUCUGAAUCAGCUUGUGUGUUAGUGGAACGGUCUGGAAAGUCCGACGGUACAGGGUGAUAGUCCCGUACACCAAAAUGCACAGGUUGUGAACUCGAAGAGUAGGGCGGGACACGUGGUAUCCUGUCUGAAUAUGGGGACCAUCCUCCAAGGCUAAAUACUCCUGACUGACCGAUAGUGAACCAGUACCGUGAGGGAAAGGCGAAAAGAACCCCGGCGAGGGAGUGAAAAAGAACCUGAAACCGUGUACGUACAAGCAGUGGGAGCACCUUCGGGUGUGACUGCGUACCUUUGUAUAAUGGGUCAGCGACUUAUAUUCUGUAGCAAGGUUAACCGUAUAGGGAGCCGCAGGGAAACCGAGUCUUAACUGGGCGUUAAGUUGCAGGGUAUAGACCCGAAACCCGGUGAUCUAGCCAUGGGCAGGUUGAAGGUUGGGUAACACUAACUGGAGGACCGAACCGACUAAUGUUGAAAAAUUAGCGGAUGACUUGUGGCUGGGGUGAAAGGCCAAUCAAACCGGGAGAUAGCUGGUUCUCCCGAAAGCUAUUUAGGUAGCGCCUCGUGAAUUCAUCUUCGGGGUAGAGCACUGUUUCGGCUAGGGGUCAUCCCGACUUACCAACCCGAUGCAAACUACGAAUACCGAAGAAUGUUAUCACGGGAGACACACGGCGGGUGCUAACGUCCGUCGUGAAGAGGGAAACAACCCAGACCGCCAGCUAAGGUCCCAAAGUCAUGGUUAAGUGGGAAACGAUGUGGGAAGGCACAGACAGCCAGGAUGUUGGCUUAGAAGCAGCCAUCAUUUAAAGAAAGCGUAAUAGCUCACUGGUCGAGUCGGCCUGCGCGGAAGAUGUAACGGGGCUAAACCAUGCACCGAAGCUGCGGCAGCGACACUAUGUGUUGUUGGGUAGGGAGCGUUCUGUAAGCCUGCGAAGGUGACCUGUGAGGGUUGCUGGAGGUAUCAGAAGUGCGAAUGCUGACAUAAGUAACGAUAAAGCGGGUGAAAAGCCCGCUCGCCGGAAGACCAAGGGUUCCUGUCCAACGUUAAUCGGGGCAGGGUGAGUCGACCCCUAAGGCGAGGCCGAAAGGCGUAGUCGAUGGGAAACAGGUUAAUAUUCCUGUACUUGGUGUUACUGCGAAGGGGGACGGAGAAGGCUAUGUUAGCCGGGCGACGGUUGUCCCGGUUUAAGCAUGUAGGCUGGUUAUCCAGGCAAAUCCGGAUAAUCAAGGCUGAGGUGUGAUGACGAGGCACUACGGUGCUGAAGUAACAAAUGCCCUGCUUCCAGGAAAAGCCUCUAAGCAUCAGGUAACAUCAAAUCGUACCCCAAACCGACACAGGUGGUCAGGUAGAGAAUACCAAGGCGCUUGAGAGAACUCGGGUGAAGGAACUAGGCAAAAUGGUGCCGUAACUUCGGGAGAAGGCACGCUGGUGUGUAGGUGAAGUCCCUGCGGAUGGAGCUGAGACCAGUCGAAGAUACCAGCUGGCUGCAACUGUUUAUUAAAAACACAGCACUGUGCAAACACGAAAGUGGACGUAUACGGUGUGACGCCUGCCCGGUGCCGGAAGGUUAAUUGAUGGGGUUAUCCGUAAGGAGAAGCUCUUGAUCGAAGCCCCGGUAAACGGCGGCCGUAACUAUAACGGUCCUAAGGUAGCGAAAUUCCUUGUCGGGUAAGUUCCGACCUGCACGAAUGGCGUAAUGAUGGCCAGGCUGUCUCCACCCGAGACUCAGUGAAAUUGAACUCGCUGUGAAGAUGCAGUGUACCCGCGGCAAGACGGAAAGACCCCGUGAACCUUUACUAUAGCUUGACACUGAACAUUGAGCCUUGAUGUGUAGGAUAGGUGGGAGGCUUUGAAGCGUGGACGCCAGUCUGCGUGGAGCCAACCUUGAAAUACCACCCUUUAAUGUUUGAUGUUCUAACGUUGGCCCCUGACCGGGGUUGCGGACAGUGUCUGGUGGGUAGUUUGACUGGGGCGGUCUCCUCCCAAAGCGUAACGGAGGAGCACGAAGGUUAGCUAAUCCUGGUCGGACAUCAGGAGGUUAGUGCAAUGGCAUAAGCUAGCUUGACUGCGAGCGUGACGGCGCGAGCAGGUGCGAAAGCAGGUCAUAGUGAUCCGGUGGUUCUGAAUGGAAGGGCCAUCGCUCAACGGAUAAAAGGUACUCCGGGGAUAACAGGCUGAUACCGCCCAAGAGUUCAUAUCGACGGCGGUGUUUGGCACCUCGAUGUCGGCUCAUCACAUCCUGGGGCUGAAGUAGGUCCCAAGGGUAUGGCUGUUCGCCAUUUAAAGUGGUACGCGAGCUGGGUUUAGAACGUCGUGAGACAGUUCGGUCCCUAUCUGCCGUGGGCGCUGGAGAAUUGAGGGGGCUGCUCCUAGUACGAGAGGACCGGAGUGGACGCAUCACUGGUGUUCGGGUUGUCAUGCCAAUGGCACUGCCCGGUAGCUAAAUGCGGAAGAGAUAAGUGCUGAAAGCAUCUAAGCACGAAACUUGCCCCGAGAUGAGUUCUCCUGAGACUUUAAGUCUCCUGAAGGAACGUUGAAGACGACGACGUUGAUAGGCCGGGUGUGUAAGCGCAGCGAUGCGUUGAGCUAACCGGUACUAAUGAACCGUGAGGCUUAACCUU